UACACUCCUGCGGGAGGCAGCAGUGGGGAAUAUUGCACAAUGGGCGCAAGCCUGAUGCAGCCAUGCCGCGUGUAUGAAGAAGGCCUUCGGGUUGUAAAGUACUUUCAGCGGGGAGGAAGGCGAUAAGGUUAAUAACCUUGUCGAUUGACGUUACCCGCAGAAUAAGCACCGGCUAACUCCGUGCCAGCAGCCGCGGUAAUACGGAGGGUGCAAGCGUUAAUCGGAAUUACUGGGCGUAAAGCGCACGCAGGCGGUCUGUCAAGUCGGAUGUGAAAUCCCCGGGCUCAACCUGGGAACUGCAUUCGAAACUGGCAGGCUAGAGUCUUGUAGAGGGGGGUAGAAUUCCAGGUGUAGCGGUGAAAUGCGUAGAGAUCUGGAGGAAUACCGGUGGCGAAGGCGGCCCCCUGGACAAAGACUGACGCUCAGGUGCGAAAGCGUGGGGAGCAAACAGGAUUAGAUACCCCUGUAGUCCCA
rnacentral:rRNA from 1 species